GCGCGACAGGGGCCGGGUCCCGGCUAGGGCACAGGAAGGCCCGCGCCUCUCAUGUAUCGGGCGCGCAGGCAGCACUGGACCUGCUCGCUCCGCUCGGCACCCCGGAAGGCCCCGGAGGUGGGGAGGGCGACGCUGCCGGUUUAUAGUCGGGCACCUGUCGGAACCUAUGCUCAGAGAGGCUGUGACGCCCCCAAGGUCACCUAGCCGAGACGGGGCCAAGUGGGGCUUUGAACGCUGGUUUCUGACAGCAGAGCCAUUUCCCUCACCUUCAGGGACACCUUCACAGGCGUUUGCGGAGUGCAGACGUUGGGCGAGACGCGGUGCCUUACCUGAGUUCGUGGAGUCAGGCAGGCCCACAGACUCGACAGAAAGCGGUGGGAGCACCAGGGAGGGAGAACGGUGGGCGCCCUGCGGCUUGUCUCGGGGUCUCUGGGGCGGCCCCGUUUGCUUUCUGUCAUUGUAUGCAUGUGCCCUGUGUGGUGUGCCAGUGCACAGAUUCUUUGUGGGUAGCGUGCCUGGUUAAUGCUUGGGUCUCCACAACCCACGACAUUGUGCGAGUGGUCAGUAAAGAAUGAACAAAGAGGCCUGGCCUGGGAGGCCUGGGGCUUGGGUUUUGCUCUCUUUACGUUUGAGGUUUUUGUAGAGACAGCUCUGUGUGGGGAGCGGUGAGAGCUGGACUGGAUCCACUUACGCUAGCAACAUCGUGUGCUAGGUUCUGUCCUUGAGAGAGGAACAUGGUUGUUCUCUCUGGGCGGUUUCUCAGCUCUCCUUUCAUUCUGGAAGCUUGCAUCCGUGUUAGAAAGGAGAAAAUCUCUAGCCGUAUUCCCACUCAUAACCACCAAAGGCAUGUGGCCAUCCCCAGGCACCCUGAGAAGGAGGGGAGUGAGACACCCCAGCGCCCUUAGCUUUGCAGAGUCUUCCCCUGCUACACCAGGUGCCUGCUUCUCGGAACAGCGUCCAUCUGCUGCCACGUCUCCAGCAGUCCUGCCUGGGCUGCUUUGAUUGCCUUUUGCUUUCCUUUCCUGAAAGAGUCUCAGGACCGCCUCAUAUACCCAUUCUGAAGCCCUGGAAUCUUGAUUCUCCUCCCAGCUCCUUAGAGAAGAUGGUCCUUUACAAAUCCUUACCUAAUGGCCACCAGCAUUGGGAUCGCCAUUUUUCAGAAACUCUGGCCCGUCUUGUCCUUCCAUGCUGUUUGUGGAUAUGCACUGAGCUUGUGUUCCGUGCAGAUUCUACAGUGGCGGAGGACUCUGAAGGAAAGAGAAGCCUUUAUCCCUCCAUUCAGGGAGCUUAAAGUGUGGUACUGACUUGGUCCUGGGCCCAGAGCUCCUCCCUAGCAACAGCCAUCCAUGUCCAGCCACCUCCCUGUCCUAUCUGCCUCUCAGUGUCCUCUUGACUUACUCCUUAGUUCCUUGUUCCACUAAGUUCCUGAUCCAGUUUAUCAGCUGUCUCCUCACAGUACAUCCAGAACAAACUACUUCUUACAGCCGUAGUCCCGGCUGAUGUUUACUUCUUGCCUUGACCACUUUGGGAGCCUCCUUGUUCGUUAUUCCCCCUGCACCCUAUUCCCCCAUUCCACACACCAUAACCAGAGCGAGCUUUGGAAGCACAGAGCGCCUCACACCGGCCUCAGUGGCUUUUACUUCAGUUAAGGCUGCCUUAGAAGUGUUGAGCAAUGAGAUCUCAUCUGUUACCUCCCUUGAUCAUUUUAUAUUUCUUCUACCUAGAGUGCUCUCCCCCAAAAUCAUGGCCCAGGAUCGAUCUUUCCACUUACAUAUCAGUGCCUCAAAGGGCUCUUCCCUUCACCAUCCCAGCAAUUAUCUCUAUGUUAGCAGCUAAGGAGGCGCAGAGCCUUGCUGGCAUAUCUGCGCGUAUCUCAGGACAUUUUCCCGACAGCCCUUGGCAGUUGGCUUUGGAUGGACCAGUUUGACUUCAGAGCCUGUACUCUUAACUACACUGUCUGCACUGCCUUCCCUGCGGCACUGUGGAAAAUACACAGAACACAAUACCUGGGGAACAAAAACAUUUAUUUGGUUUUGGAAGAAACCAGGCUAGAAGUGGAGAGGCCUGUCUUCUAAAACAAUACUUUCCGAACUAAUGUGCACACAGACCACCUGGGGAGCUGGUGAAAAUGCAGAUUCUGACUCAGCUGUUAGAGGAGACAGAGCCAGGAGAGGAAGGGCAUGGGGCUUGGGCUUGGGCUUGGUGCACAGGGGGCCUGGCCAGGCUGCGGUCAGGGCGUUCUCCCACGGCACCAGCGCCAGGCCACGGCGAGGCCUGAGAGCCUGCAUUGCAGCCAGGGCGCAGGGGGUGCGCUGACCCGUGACCCCCGCCCCCUCCCCCGGAGUGGUGAGGUACCAGUAUUCAGUCAUGCUGCCAUCUCCCUGGCAGAGCCUCGUUGUGCUAACCCCUGGGACUUUAUUUUUCUUCCUCUGAGGCUGUUCUGCAGCUCUGAGAUGGGCGGUCUCUUCUGAGCAUGUAUCCAGCUAUGUGCACAGAGCUGGCGUGUCCCACUGCCUCUGUCCGCUCUGGGCCAGGCUCUUCCCAUACGUGUCUUGUGGGAUCUUCCUAGCAGCCCUGGGGGUUGGGUUCUUAUUCUUACAGUUGAAGAACAGCAGCUCUAAGAAACUAAGCGCCUUGUCAGGGAUUCCAUGGCAUUCAUGUGAUAGAGCCACGAAUGAAUGCCGGCCUGUGUGAUUCCAAAGCCUGGGCCCUAACCCAUGGGUGAGAGCAUUAGGCAAUGUGGGUCACAGGCUGGGAGGCCGUCGGUGCCACCGCAGGAGUGGAUGGAGUGGAAGGGCUUGACCUGAUUCACUGAAGAUUAGUGUGGGGGCAGGGCCUGGGCUCCUAGGCCGCGACUGUGAGUGUGGAAGGAGAUGGUGUGGGGGCUGGGGACAGUGAUGUAAAGAAAGUUGAGACUUGUUGAGUUCUACUUUCAGAUGUCAAUUGGUGACACCUGGCCUGGGGGUUGUACUACUGCAUGUGGGAUUCAUGGGAGAGGGUGGGUUGUGGCCAAACCAGGCAGCUUUGUGGUCACACUUUGUACCAGGGCUGGGGGAUGGGGCCUGAAGGGGACAGGAUGUAGCUGAGCAGGGUUUACAGUGACAGCUGGGGGCUUAGGGACAACCUGUGUGCUGCCGUGUGUGUUUCAUAGUGAGGGGCAGAGAGAACAGGUUAAAGGACCUUGGCGACAAUGGGAAAGAGUUGGCAAGCAGUGACCCAGAGUCAGAUCAGCGGGGUUUGGCGUCUCUAGAUGGUUCUGUGCAGGAUUCCAAGAGUUAGAGGAUGCAGGCCCUGCUGGAGCACAGGAACACAGACACAAACACAGGUGACAGCUGAGGGCAAGUUGCAGCUAUGGCAGAGGAGCUGAAGCUGUUGAUUGGUUGCCAAAGAAAUUGGACUGACACUGAGGAGCUUGAGGAGGGCCAGUGCACCUCUGCAGGUGGUGGUCAGGAGGGCUUUGGUGGCGAAGUGGGGUUCAAGCUGGCCCUUGUGGUUUUGAAUCAGAUGAGUGUGUGAAGUUCUCUGUGAACCAUGGAAGGCCUCGUGCACACACGUCAACACUCAGGCUCCUUCCUGGAGCCAGGUGGGGUGUCCUGAGUAGAGCUGCACCCUUUGAGAUGAUGAUGGACACCCAGGAGGCGGGAGAAGGCCAGACACAUGGAUGAUCACUGCCUUGUGCGUGCAUUCAUUCUCUCACUCAUUCAUUCAGUUAGCACUGCCUCGGGGCCUGGUACAGACCAGCCCCUGUGGUGAGAACAGGCUAGGAGGAAGACGGCUGCCUCACCCGGCAGGUGCUGUGUGGGCAAGUGGGCCUCAGGAUGUCCUGCGGAGGGAAGGACAUAAGAUGGCUGUGCAGUUAGAGGAGAGUGUGGUUGAAGGAAGGGUUUUGUGUUUUAAGAGUCUGGUGUAUUCAGGGCCAGGCAAAAGCCAGCUUGGGGUGAUGGAGGAAGCUGGUGAAAAGCCCUGGGUGCCGAGUGCGAGAGCGUUACUGGGGUUUGAAGCCGGCUCAGGCUCUGUGAUCACCCAGUGGCUGCUUGCCAGUGCCAGGCCCUGAGCAGGUGCUUUGACACGCACCCCUCACCAUCUCCCCGUCCCCUAAUCCCCAAGACAGGUGCUCCCCGCUUUUACAAACGAGGAAACAACUGUGGGUGAUGUGGGAACAUGGAAUUUCAACCCAAGGCUUCUGACUGCAUGCCUAGAACCAUCCGUUUCAUUGUUCACCAGCCGUGCUGCAGGAUCCACUAGGAUUCCCAGGGAUCCCCCUAGAUCUGCGGGAUUGUCACCUCUGAGGCCGAGGUCUAGAAAUUUGGAUGGAUGAAAAGAACCCCAGGGAGCUGUGAGUGUUCAGGUCUGGAAGCAUUAAGUCCACUCACAGUGUUGUGCAGCCAUCACCACCAGCCACCUCCAGAACUUUCUCAUCUUGCCAGACUCAAACUCUGUCCCCAUUCAACACUCACUCCCCCUCCCCCUUCCCCAGCCCCUGGCACCCCCAUUCUACUUCCCGCCUGUGGCACUAGGGACCUCACAUAAGUGGAUCCUGCAGGAUUUGUCCUUUUCCGACUGGCAUAUUUCACUUUGCAUCAUGUCCUCAAGGAUCAUCUGUGUUGUGGCAUGUAUUGGCACGGCCUUGCUCUCAUGGCUGAACAAUCCAUUGUCAACUCUGUGGCAUAUUGUGUUUAUCUACGUAUCUGUGAUGGACAUUCGGUUGCCUCCACCUCUUGGCGAAUGUGAAUAAGGCUGCUAUGAACAUGGUGUUCAGGGAUCUCUUCAAGAUCCUGCUCUCAGUUCUUCUGGGUAAAUAAAAGUGGAAUUGCUAGAUUA